rnacentral:rRNA from 1 species
UUUUCACAAGAUGUCACCCUGGUAGCACCCGAUCUCAUCUGACAAUUGGAAGCUAAACAGGGUUGGAUGGUAACUAUCUGCAACCACAUGGUGGAGAC